rnacentral:lncRNA from 1 species
GAGAGGAAGAAGAGGAGAGCUUGGGAGCUAGGGCAAAGGGAGAGCUAGGGAUUCGAUAGCUUCGUCGUGUUUUCUUCGAAUCCAGGUAAGAGAGUAGAUUUCAUAUUUGUGGGUGACUCGAGGAAGGGGAGAAUGUCGAUUUCUCCUCACCCGAACUUCCUCCACCCCAUUUUCGUUUUAGUUGUGAAUGGAUUUUCUUAAUGGAAAUCGAUUCUAAGGUUCAUAACAUGUUUAACAUGCUCUUAUCAUGAUGUAUGAACGAAUCUAAUGGUUAAAAACGAGAUUUAUAAAGGAUUAAACUCAAGAACAUUGUGUCCUUGAGUGUUUUGAGUAAAAGUGUUCAAUCUUUACUUUUUCGAUGUUUAUGAUGUAGAUCUGAGAAAAGAAUUGUCCUUUUGUGUUUAG